UUUUAUUAUGAGAGUUUGAUCCUGGCUCAGGACGAACGCUGGCGGCGUGCCUAAUACAUGCAAGUCGAACGCUUCUUUCCAAU
rnacentral:rRNA from 1 species